rnacentral:rRNA from 1 species
GACUCCAUGAAGCUGGAUUCGCUAGUAAUCGCGCAUCAGCCACGGCGCGGUGAAUACGUUCCCGGGCCUUGUACACACCGCCCGUCAAGCCAUGGAAGCCGGGAGUGCCUGAAGUGCGUGAGCGCAAGCAGCGCCCUAAGGUAAAACCGGUGACUGGGGCUAAGUCGUAACAAGGUACC